GAGGAAGGCCCGAAGCAACAAGGACUGCUAAUCCUUCGUCCCCACGGUUAAACUCCGUGGCUUCCUCG
rnacentral:tRNA from 2 species